rnacentral:tmRNA from 1 species
GGGGAUGUAAAGGUUUCGACAGGGGCGAGUGUGGUAUAGAUAGCGAGUCGGCGUUCCAUUGGGCCGUUAAACGGUGGGAAAAAAACGCAGAAGAAAAUUUUGCAUUAGCUGCAUAAGCUACGUCCCUCAUACUUGUGCCUACCAAGUGUGAAUGGACGUCAAACCGUAGGCUGGCUUAAUUUAGUCGUUCAUAUGAAUUAGGCGAGACAACAUGAACUGGAGUACUGUAGUUUGUCUGUGAGCGAUAGGUACUUGAGAUUUAAAUCAUAGACUGUGCUCGGAGAAGUCUAUAUGGCAACGCUUUUGGACAGGAGUUCGACUCUCCUCAUCUCCACCA